GAUGAAGAACGCAGCGAAAUGCGAUAAGUAAUGUGAAUUGCAGAAUUCAGUGAAUCAUCGAAUCUUUGAACGCACAUUGCGCCCGCCAGUAUUCUGGCGGGCAUGCCUGUUCGAGCGUCAUUUCAACCAUCAAGCCCCCGGCUUGUGUUGGGGACCUGCGGCUGCCGCAGGCCCUGAAAACCAGUGGCGGGCUCGCUGUCACACCGAGCGUAGUAGAUUUUAUCUCGCUCAGGGCGUGCUGCGGGUUCCGGCCGUUAAAAAGCCUUUUUUACCCAAGGUUGACCUCGGAUCAGGUAGGAAGACCCGCUGAACUUAAGCAUAUCAAUAAGCGGAGGA
rnacentral:misc_RNA from 1 species